rnacentral:rRNA from 1 species
GACGUAGGUGGCGAACGUUAUCCGGAAUUAUUGGGCGUAAAGGGUGCGUAGGCGGCAUGAUAAGUUGUUGGCGGCAAAUCGAGGCUCAACCUCGUGGAAACUAAUAAUACUGUCUUGCUUGAGUGCAGAAGAGGUUAACGGAACUCCAUGUGGAGCGGUAAAAUGUGUAGAUAUAUGGAAGAACAUCAAUAACGGCGAAGGCAGUUAACUAUUCUGUUACUGACGUUGAGGCACGAAAGCGUGGGGAGCAAAAAGG